UACGUAGGGGGCAAGCGUUGUCCGGAAUUAUUGGGCGUAAAGAGCGUGUAGGCGGUCCGGUAAGUCGGCUGUGAAAGUCCAGGGCUCAACCCUGGGAUGCCGGUCGAUACUGCCGGACUAGAGUUCGGAAGAGGCGAGUGGAAUUCCCGGUGUAGCGGUGAAAUGCGCAGAUAUCGGGAGGAACACCUAUGGCGAAGGCAGCUCGCUGGGACGUUACUGACGCUGAGGCACGAAGGCCAGGGGAGCAAACGGG
rnacentral:rRNA from 1 species